GCCUUCCCUGUGAUAGCACUUAUGAGAUUCAACUGGCCCUAAUCUUGUUAUCUUUUAAGAAGGCUUUGAAGACAUGAUUGUGGACAAGAUGUUAGAUAAACUACUGAGACCUGACUGUUUCAAGUAUCAAACAUCAAGAAGGAGAAGGAGAAGAGCAGCAGCAACAACAACAAUCUUCAGGCUCUCCCAAUUCUUCACUCCUAUUCUAAUGAUUGGUGUGAAGAAUUGCAGAAGUAUGGAGUCUUAGAAUGCCUAAACCAACUUUUUGGACACAAGAAUCUCUCUGAAGAAUUUUUUUUCUUGUCUGAGAAGGGGGCUUUCUCCAAACUGUUGCAGAAUUUCUCCCCAGUGGCAUACCAAGUGUGAAUCAGUGGGAACAAUCCAUCCCAGAUGCAGGCAAUAAAGUGGAAUAAAGAAUUUAAAAAU